rnacentral:rRNA from 1 species
AGUGAACGCUGGCGGUAGGCCUAACACAUGCAAGUCGAACGGCAGCACAGUAAGAGCUUGCUCUUACGGGUGGCGCGUGGCGGACGGGUGAGGAAUACAUCGGAAUCUACUUUUUCGUGGGGGAUAACGUAGGGAAACUUACGCUAAUACCGCAUACGACCUACGGGUGAAAGCAGGGGAUCUUCGGACCUUGCGCGAUUGAAUGAGCCGAUGUCGGAUUAGCUAGUUGGCGGGGUAAAGGCCCACCAAGGCGACGAUCCGUAGCUGGUCUGAGAGGAUGAUCAGCCACACUGGAACUGAGACACGGUCCAGACUCCUACGGGAGGCAGCAGUGGGGGAUAUUGGACAAUGGGCGCAAGCCUGAUCCAGCCAUACCGCGUGGGUGAAGAAGGCCUUCGGGUUGUAAAGCCCUUUUGUUGGGAAAGAAAAGCAGCAGGUUAAUACCCCGCUGUUCUGACGGUACCCAAAGAAUAAGCACCGGCUAACUUCGUG